rnacentral:rRNA from 1 species
GUAGGGAAUAUUGGACAAUGGGGGGAACCCUGAUCCAGCCAUGCCGCGUGGAGGAAGACUGCCCUCUGGGUUGUAAACUCCUUUUAUAUGGGAAGAACCGUCCUCAUUAAUGAGUGACCUGACGGUACCAUAGGAAUAAGCACCGGCUAACUCCGUGCCAGCAGCCGCGGUAAUACGGAGGGUGCAAGCGUUAUCCGGAUUCACUGGGUUUAAAGGGUGCGUAGGCGGAUAAAUAAGUCAGUGGUGAAAUCAACGGGCUCAACCUGUUAACUGCCAUUGAUACUGUGUAUCUUGAAUAUGAGAGAGGUAGGCGGAAUGUUGCAUGUAGCGGUGAAAUGCUUAGAUAUGCUACGGAACACCGAUUGCGAAGGCAGCUUACUAUUUCGUAAUUGACGCUGAGGCACGAAAGCGUGGGUAGCGAACAGGAUUAGAUACCCGGGUAGUCC